UCGGGAAUUUUGGGCAAUGGGCGAAAGCCUGACGCAGCAACGCCGCGUGAGUGAUGAAGGCCUUCGGGUCGUAAAGCUCUGUCGGAGGGAACGAAUGCUCCUGAAGUUAACAGCCUCAGGAGGUGACGGUACCCUCAAAGGAAGCACCGGCUAACCCUGUGCCAGCAGCCGCGGUAAGACAGGGGAUGCAAGCGUUACUCGGAAUUACUGGGCGUAAAGCGUCUGCAGGUGUCUUGUAAAGUCUGAUGUUAAACCACGAAGCUCAACUUCGUGUAUGUAUUGGAAACUCACAAGAUCGAGUUACUCAGAGGCAACUGGAAUGUCGUGUGUAGGGGUAAAAUCCGUAGAUCCACGAUGGAACGCCAAAAGCGAAAGCAGGUUGCUGGGAGUGUACUGACACUCAGAGACGAAAGCGUGGGGAGCAAAGGGGAUUAGAUACCCACGUAGUCCCUGAGCGGGCUGGCAAGGCGCAU
rnacentral:rRNA from 1 species